rnacentral:ncRNA from 1 species
GGUAAGUAGUAACAACGAACUGCGAGAAGUCAGCCGAAGCCAUAGUACCCGGGAAAAAAAAAUCGGCACGUUCGGGGAAGGGC